rnacentral:rRNA from 1 species
AACGAACGCUGGCGGCAGGCUUAACACAUGCAAGUCGAGCGCCCCGCAAGGGGAGCGGCCGACGGGUGAGUAACGCGUGGGAACGUACCUUUUGGUUCGGAACAACUCCGGGAAACUGGAGCUAAUACCGGAUAAGCCCUAACGGGGAAAGAUUUAUCGCCGAAAGAUCGGCCCGCGUCUGAUUAGCUAGUUGGUGAGGUAACGGCUCACCAAGGCGACGAUCAGUAGCUGGUCUGAGAGGAUGAUCAGCCACACUGGGACUGAGACACGGCCCAGACUCCUACGGGAGGCAGCAGUGAGGAAUAUUGGACAAUGGGCGCAAGCCUGAUCCAGCCAUGCCGCGUGAGUGAUGAAGGCCUUAGGGUUGUAAAGCUCUUUUGUCCGGGAAGAUAAUGACUGUACCGGAAGAAUAAGCCCCGGCUAACUUCGUG